UGGACUACUAGGGUUUCUAAUCCUGUUUGAUACCCACACUUUCGCUCCUCAGCGUCAGUAACGGCCCAGUAACCUGCCUUCGCCAUCGGUGUUCUUCCUGAUAUCUGCGCAUUCCACCGCUACACCAGGAGUUCCAGUUACCCCUACCGCACUCUAGCCGGCCCGUACCCACCGCAAGCCCCCGGUUGAGCCGGAAGUUUUCACGACAGACGCGACCAGCCGCCUACGAGCUCUUUACGCCCAAUAAUUCCGGACAACGCUUGCGCCCUACGUAUUACCGCGGCGGCUGGCACUA
rnacentral:misc_RNA from 1 species